CAGUUGCUAGGCAACCAGUGGAGACUUCAGGAAGUUUGCAAUUCUUAUGCUAAGCUAAGAUAACCAGACACUGGCUGUAGCCUUAUCUUG